GGAAGGAUCAUUAACGUUACCUCAUCCAACCUUGCUGUCGGUCGCCUGCAGAGGUGGCCGACAACAAGCACCUGUGACUCGUUAAAGUCCUUGACAGUACCCGAUCCGAUCGGAUACCGUUAAAGCACCCUUUACAAUCGUAUGUCUAAUCGUGAGUUCCUCUCUGCGAGGAGCGCAACCAUUGUUAACCAAGACACAACUUUUAACAACGGAUAUCUAGGUUCUCACAACGAUGAAGAGCGCAGCGAAAUGCGAUACGUAGUGUGAAUUGCAGAAUUCAGUGAAUCAUCGAAACCUUGAACGCACCUUGCGCUUGCGGUCACCCGCAAGCAUGCCUGUUUGAGUGUCGUUUAUCCAUCCUCAUCAGAUUCAAAGAUACCCUCUUUGACUUCUGGUGGUACUGAGCAUUUGCAUCAUUGCAAUCGCUUGAAAAGGAGAGAGGCUACAGGGUAUCGGAUUCAGCAUCCGGCAGCUUCUGCAGUCCACGGGUGUCUCUAGCAUGCUCUGUCAUGAUUCACAUCCGUGCUGCAACCAAGGAGCUUCGAAGCAGAAAUCGUACUCUCGCCUUAAAUCUGCUACCUGCCCCUCAAAAGGGCAGAUAGAUCACAUCCAAAACUGCGACCUCAAAUCAGACAAGAUUACCCGCUGAAUUUAAGCAUAUAAAUAAGCGGUGGAGAAGAAACUAACCAGGAUUCCCUCAGUAACUGCGAGUGAAGCGGGAAGAGCUCAAGCUUAAAAUCUGGAGAGGCCUCCUCUCCCGAAUUGUAGUUUCGCGAAUGACGCUUACGGGCAGUCCGCUCCGGCAGAAGUCCUCUGGAAAGAGGCGCCGCAGAGGGUGAGAGCCCCGUACACGGCCGGAUGCCGGGCUGUCGACACGUACCGUCCAUUCGCAGAGUCGGGUUGUUUGGGAGUACAGCCCUAAGCGCGUGGUAAGUUCCAUGUAAAGCUAAAUAAGGGUGAGAGACCGAUAGCGAACAAGUACCGUGAGGGAAAGAUGCAAAGAACUUUGAAAAGAGAGUUAAAAGUGCUUGAAAUUGUUAAAAGGGAAGCGAUUUGGGUCAGUGAAUGGCGGUCGCCGACUCAUUCGCACCGGGGGUGCUGGUUCGCGGUCAGCUCGAGCAGCCCUCUGUGGCGGCCAACUGAUCGCUGCCUGGCAUCUCCGGGGCGAAGCACUUCGGUGAUCGCCGAGUCAGCAUCAGUUAGGGGAGGAGUAAAAGGAUCGGAGGGAGGUGACAUGAUGGAACUCCUUGAGGGUUUCACCGUGUGUUAUACCCUCUGGUAGAUGCUCUUCUCAUCUAACUGAGGAGUCUCUAUGGACUAGAACGGGUGCCCUCUGGGCUGGACAUGGUUGCUCGCUGGUGCUCGCUGGAGAGGGGGACAGCAUGCUGUGCCUUUCAUCGGCGGGUAUCACCGAGCAGCCGUCGCACACCUGUUAGUGAUGCUGACCAGACGGCCCAAACCGUCCCGUCUUGAAACACGGACCAAGGAGUCUAACAUAUAUGCGAGUGCUUGGGUGACAAACCUAGACGCGUAAUGAAAGUAAAGGGAGGUUCGGCCUCCUGAGGUGGGAAGCCUCUCUCUAGGGAGGGGCAGCACCAUCGACCGAUCUGGAUAUUUUUGGAUAGAUUUGAGUAAGAGCAUAUCUGUUGGGACCCGAAAGAUAGCGAACUAUGCCCGCAUAGGGUGAGGCCAGACGAAAGUCUGGUGGAGGCUCGUAGCGAUACUGACGUGCAAAUCGUUCGUCAAAUGUGGGUAUAGCGGCGAAAGACUAAUCGAGCUGUCUAGUAGCUGGUUCCUUC
rnacentral:misc_RNA from 1 species